rnacentral:lncRNA from 15 species
AUGCAUCCGGUUGUGUGCUGUAGGUUGACUGUUGACUGUGAUGCAUUGCAGGCUGAGCGCCAGGAGGAGAGGAGGCGACAGGAGGAGCAGAGAAGGAGGGAGCAGCACAAGCAGGAUCACCUCAGGACAACUGAGACUUUCCUGCAGAGGUUUGAGAGGAGAGCCCCGGGUCCGCCGGCAUCCAGCAGUGCCACACACACGUCAUCUAGGAGCGAGGCUUUGGCGGGUAAACAGAGAGAGGAGUCAAAAAGCGUGAGAGAAGUACAGCUAGAACAUAAGAGGGUGAACUCUGCCUUUCUGGACAAACUCGUGGGUCGAGGCAGAGAGAGCGAGAGGGAGACAAAAGGGGAAGGCACUCAAGAGACAGAGUAUCCCUGUUUUGCCUCUGAAGACUUUGGACACCAGCCGCCCAAAACCCCAGGACAACAACGGCCCUUCACUCACCUGGACCCAGAUCCAGAACAGAGUUGCUCCGGCUGGACGGAGGAGGCGGACCCAGAGCCUGACUAUGACUGGGCCUUGAUGAAAUUGAUGAACAGCUUUCCAGACUGCUCCAAGAUCUUCCUAGAAGACAUCCUUAACCAGUGCAACAGUGAUUAUGAGCAGGCCUACACACUACUCAUCAGCGCACUAAGUUGAAUUGUAUGUAUCUUUACUGGGAGGACUGUCUUUCCUCUUAAUAUUGUGUUUGACACUUUGGGAAUCGUUCCAAAUGAAAAUGAAGAACCGGUGUUCAGAUGAUAAAGAAUAGCUAGAAGUAAGUUAUGUACCUUGGUCGGGGAUGAAUGUAAAUAGCUAUGCUGCCUGCACCACACAACUGCAUUAAAUAUAUACAGUACCUACAGGGCAGUAUGUGCUUCUUUGUAAUCUGUUUUUGAUUAUGCCAUUAAUCAUUGAGUGUUUGGUGUCUUGUAUCUGUCUGCAUGCACCAGUGAGUCAUGUCGGGUUUUUGCCCUGACAUGGAGUUGAAUUGAUGUUCGUUUUCACCAGUUUAGUUGAAGGUCAUCGCCAUGACUCAUAAUCUUAAGAUCAUAUUUGGGGUUCCUAAUUGAAUCAGUAUGUGCAGAUGGAAGAGAGCUCUAUCCAAAUACAUGAUGCUUUUUGUUUGUUUUAUAAUCAAAGUCGCAUGUAUCUAUAGCAGGAUUUUUCAGGACAACAAAAGAUGCAAAUCAAAAUGGGAUCCUCUGUAGAGAGGCCUUUUAUGACAGUUCAUAGUCCCAAUAGCUUUAGAGGUCUUCAAUAAAACACCUUUUCGUUAACUCUUAACUGUUUAUGACUGCUUGUGUGUCGUAGUAUGUCAAACCAUUCCCUUUUAUCAGUGUGUUAUAUCAAGCUGGGUGGGGUUUCCAGGUGGGCAGGGGGCGCAGAGCUGGCAGCCUCAUAACACCGCUGAGCUGGACAGCAGAGAUGGUUAUCACCUGACCGAGGAAACAAAGAACAAAGGGUGGUGCUCUCCACAUGGGGGACUAAAAAUCCCCCUCUGCUGUGGUAUGAAGUCAUGCACUGUGUGAGUGUUUCACUGCUGAUGUCAUCAAACAAAUGUCCCUCUGGAGAUUAACAAGAAACUCAAUGGCAGUUCUGCACUCAUGAAGAUAAUACUAAUGAAUAUAACUAACCACAGUAUAAAGCUCUUGGUCAUGCAGUGUUUCUGCAGGUUAAAUUUAAGACCGUUUUAAGUCCAUAGUGGCAAAAAGGUAUUCAGGAUAUGAAGGAAAAUCAGUAUUUGUUCUAUGUCGGUUUGUAGUUACAGCACAAUCAAUACAUUAUCCAAACCACAUGUAAAAACACGUGUAUGCAACUUUAUUUUCCUCCUCUCUGGCUAAUAUUAGAGCUUAUGUCCUUAAUAAAACCAUAUGCCUCACUGUCUCUACUUUUUACAAAUCCUUAAUCUGCUACCAAAUCAGUCAAGUCAUAUUUUUGUUGUCAGAAAUUCGUUGUAAGGUUCUUAUUCAAAUUAAACGUACCUACAAAUGUUCUAAUAUCUCAAAUAUGUACACCAUUUUGCCACAACCUUGCCUUUGCCCUAAUAUUUGUGACAUUGGUGCAUAAAGGACUUCUAAUUAGACAAGUUUGGAUCUUUUGGUUAAUUAAGCAGUUAAGCAUUAAGUACAAUCUACUACAGUCUAAUUUGUUUUUGUUACAUGAAGCUUAGACACUUUGUGAGGGAGAACAUUUCCCACCUUGAGACACUCUUUUAUGAAAAGCUUUCUGUUAUACCAGAGUAUGAAGCUUAUCACCAAAUUUGUGAAUUUCUUUACUUAAGAUUUUGAACCCGUCAACUGUAAUAAUUAGGCUUGGGAAAUGGAAAUGAAUGCUGAGUUGCCUGAGAAAAACUCUUCAUGGUCAUAUUGCAUACAUUUUACCCCCGUUUCUCCAAUCUGUGAUAAAUGUAAGUCCAAUGAUGGUACACUGCUGCAUUUAUUUUGUAACUGUCCAUUAAUCUCUCCAUUUUGGUCAAGAUUUUUUCUCAUUAUUUCUGGGGUUUACCACAGAACUCUCUUCCGACAGGGAACUGGCUCUCUUUGGAUGCUCCGAGGACUCUUCACUCUUCCCUUACACAUUCAAACAGCUCUACUGAUGGGCAUGAGACUAGCAAAAAAUUACUUAUUCUCAAAGACUGGAAGAAUCCUACUGCACGUGCCUCAGAAACUGGUGUAAUGAACUUGUUUCAAAACAUGAAUAGGAGGAAUCUUUUGUGCAAUACAUGAGCGUGUUUGGGUCGGGCCUUGGGCACAGAUCUGUUUGUGGUCUAUGAAAAUAUGUCAAUCAAAAUAAUAUUUAAAAAAACAAACAAACAGAAAAAGGCAGCUCUAUAGUUUUAUAAUAUACUUUAUACUUUAAUAUACUAUUUGCUAAUUGCUCUAGCUCACGCUGAGUAAGAGUGGUAUAUAUCUUUUCAUGGUAACCCUGGUAGGCUGGGGCCCAAGCUCUUUGCUGCAUGUCAUUCCCCUGUCUACUGUACUGUCAAAAUAAAGCAACAUGCCAUAUAUAUAAAUAUGAAACUGUUCAUUUAAUGCAAUUGGCCUUGCAAUGUGUCUUUACAAAGGAAUUAGUCCUACAUGUCAAAUUAUUACAUUAUAUACUGAUAAUGUAAAAUAAUAAAAAGACCUUAAAAGAAUAAUUUAAACAUAGUAUCAACAGUAUUUAUAAAAUGUAAAACAUUAAUAUAGCAGCACUAUUGGCUCUAGAAAGCGACUGAAACUGCUGUUUUUAUCAUCUACAUUCGUGAAUUAAGGAUUUAUUUCCACCAAACCAGAGUUGCCGGAAGAGUGGAAAGACUAAAAAGAGUUUUUGGUGAGUUUUAUUCUGUUCCUGUGCACUUUGAUUAGGGCUAUGUAGGAAUAUUGGCAGGAAUAUGGCAAUACGUAUCAUGAUACAACAAUUCAAUAUAUAAUCAUUUAUUGCAAUACUGUAAGGUGGCGAAACAUUACGAUUUAAUAAAAGACAACAAAAAAAACAUUUUAAGAAUGUCAUUGUAUAAAGCAUUUUUUUUAUGUAACCCAAACAGUGGGAUAACGCCACGAAGUUUACUUUAACCACGCUUUCUAACUUGGUGAAUGAAGGUUUUAUUUUGUCCAAACUAGGGUUGAAGAUUGCUGGAAAGAUUAACAAAGACGGUUUUGGUGAUUAAAGGGGAAUUUGGCAACUAUUUCAACUUAAUAAACCCGUUUAGAAAUCAUUUGGAUGGUUAAAUGGCCUGUUCCUGUGUUAAUGGUGACUUUCCCCGCUCCCCCUAGCGAACGCACACGCCCCCCUCAAUACCGGUUAGCCACGCUUGCUAUAAGAACAAGCGACAAUGAAUGUAUUACCCUUACAAUUAUCUACAAGGUAAAAUUGUCUGGUGAGCCGCUACGGCCAUUGUUUUGAUCUGAGAUGCUGGUCCUGUUGUGUGACAUCUAGUGGCAAGUGAAUUUCGUAUAUAACCAUUGACAGUAUGUAUAAUGGACAAAGCUUCCGGGUCUGAUAAGUGAAGCCAGUCUUAAGUUUCUAAAAACCUGCAUUCUAUGUAAAGGCCAGCAGGGGGAGCUCCAUUGGCUGCAAUAACACAGCAAUCCCAUUCACUUUAAUGGAGAAUGAGCCAACUUCUCACUUAAUUUAUGAGCUUAGUAAACAGUUUCUUAACAAGUUUAUGUUUUCCAUACGGUAUGAUGCCAAUGAGAGCAGCUCAACUCGCAGUCACCUCCGCUGGCUCUGUCUAAUCAUGGCGAUGACCAUAACGCCAAACUCAUGGCUUCAAAACUGUACUCUACAAGCCAGUGGGCUCACACUUAAAUAUAACCUUUAAGUUCUUCCUAGUAUCUUUGAGUAUGCAGCAGUUUGUUAUGACAUUUAAAAAUUUGGCUAAGUAAGAGCAAAGGUUAGGGGUGGGUGGGGAAUAAUGAGGUUAAGGUUACAAUAUGUUACUCUCAAGUACAAAGUAUGUGUGUAUUACAACAUGUGGGCGACUUUUGUGUGUAUCACUAUCAAGUAAACAGGAAAACCUUGAAAUGAACUGGCUGUGUGUACAUAUGUGGAUAGAGUGAACGUGCUGAG